UCUAUGUAUCUUGGUGAUAUCUGUCUGCUUAUAUGUCUAUAGUUUUCUGGUUAGAUUUUUGUUGCUAUUUCAUUUAUACCUGAUGAUGGUUGCUUGUGUUGCAAUCGAAACGUCGUAUGCUAUUAUUUAAUUUAUUAUUUUAUUUUUAUACGUGACUUUACCGACAGAACCAAAGAGUAAUUCCUGCAGUCACGAAAGCUCCAAAUGCCACAUUCAGAGGAAUUCUCAACGCGGCAGUCCGGCCGCGCUGCUUCGCGUGACGAGCAAAGUCCCCGCGCCGCUGAGGGAAGCUCGAGCCUCGGGCAUCGCACGAAGUCGCUUUCCUCGCAGUUUGGGACUAAGACUCCGAAUUUUCGCAUCUCUCCGUGGAAGGGAAUGGAGCUGUGGUGACCUCGGCUCACUCACCGCCUCCUCCCCCGCGAUGUCACAACACGGCGAUUACAACGAGGAGGAGGAGCUGGUGACUCGGAGACCAGAGACAACAUCAAUCAAGUCUCAUUAUACAGUCUUCGUCACAACGGUUAUACACCUGGCCGCUGUCUGUCUCCUUCUCUGGGCGUCUCUGUCUCCGUUGGCCUCCGAGCUCCGAGUCAGUCGCUGGAUCGCGUUUGGGCGGAUCGCUCUCUAUCUGAUCCACUCUGUCUCUGCGUGGAACGUCCAUUGCUCACUCAGCUGGGCUCGCGCGCAAGGGCACUUGAGAUGGGAGAGGAAGACACGGAGACACAGAGACACGGCCAUGAUGAUCUUCAACACAGGUAACGCUCUUCUGCUGACAAUCUGUGCAACGGAGAAGCAAGUAGAAGACCCGGAGACAUGGGGGGGAAUUGGAGGAGAGAGAUUUUGGCUCUGGAUGUGGGUCGGGAUUAUUUGUGCAGAAUUCCUCCUCCUUUCUCCGUGUCUCAUCGCAUAUGUGGUGCGAGUUGUCAGAUUCAACAAAUCGACCCCACAAUCCGACAUCAUCGAGAAAGAAAUGGCGUCCUCCACAGCCGGCACCACCAAGUCUAUGGGUGUGAGGGAGCUCGUUGAGUACCAGGAUGAUGUCAUUGAGCACCUGGUGGCCCAGAAUCACUGCCUCAGCCAGAGGCUCCUCCUCCUCCACACCAAUCACUAGCGGCAAUGCACAGCCACAGGCAACGUUUUGGGCAAUGGAUCUACUUCGGGGCACAUUUACUCACCCACUCGGUCACUCAAUCACACCAUCUCGGUUACUCACCCACAAACCCACACACACUCAGUCACUCACACUCUCGCACAACUGCCAUUUGCUACUAAGUGGCGGUGACAUCACCACGGCUUUUGUGCCAGGCAAGUUGCACUUUGAGGCCAUGUGAACUGUCAAAGGUUCGCUGGCAGGAGGUCAAGGGACAGACCCAGGUGCCAUGGGGUGACUGACUGAGAUGACUGGCAGAUGUACCAACUGCCAACUUUGUGUUUUAGCCGUCUGGAACACACCCACUCAGUCACUCACACACUCACCCACGCACAAGCCCACAGUCAAUCACCCACACCUACUCGCCCAGUCUCUCACCAACACACCCACUCUCAAUAAUAUAUAAUAGGCAAGGUUUUGGGCAAUGGCCCUUCUUCAGGGCACAACCACAUACGGUAUUAUAUAUUUUCCCUUUGAGUGGGUGUGACUGAUUGGCUUUGUGAUUGGGUGAGUGAGUGACAGUGGCCGUGUGAGUAAGCAAGUGUGAGAUGGUGAAUGGUAGUGUAGCGGUUAGCGCGCUGCGAUACGAACCCGAUGACCCUAGCUCGAUUCCUGCUCAUGGCUAAGACCAGUGGCUAUUAUAUGAACUGGUCCUGGGCCUCCCUAAGGUCGCCUUAGCCUCAUGAGUACCUGGUGCAAUGUGUAAACAUUGCCAAUGGGGAGGCAAAGGCGGCCCGGGCGUGGUGCUGGCCACCCACCCCCUCGUGUGCCGUGCUGGCCUUCAUAGGUGGUGCUUGCUAACAGCACUUGCCCUAACUGUCAGGCUUUAUGUCGGUAUUUGUCUUUGUGUGACCCAUUACCCUAAAAUAUUAAUUAUUGAUAUCAAUAAAUAUUAAUGAUAAAUGUAUAUUGACAUUGAAUGCAGAGUAGAAUGGGAACCUGAAUUGAAUAUUGGUCAUUGCUGAGAACACAAAUUACUGAAAUAAAUAAAUAUUUAUCAUUACUGCAAUCCCUGAAUGUGAAUCAUGCUAUUGAAUCCUGAAAAUUAAUUGCUGAAAUCAAUGAAUAUUGACAUUAUUGAUUCCUGAUUAAUUAUUACCGAGAUAACUGAAUGUUGAUCAUGAUAUUGAUUACUGACAAAUAUUGGUCACGGAUCAAUAUAUGAUGAUCAUGAUAUUGAUCACUAAGAAGAUGAAUCCGUGAGAUAAAUGAAACAAUGUGGGAGUGGUUGUGGCCCUGUGCCCAUGGAGAGCAGUGGUGUAGCAAACCGCGCUGCACCCGAGUUCGAUUCCUGCUCACGCCCAACACCAGUGGCGAUUAUCUGAACCAGGCCUGGGCCUCUCCUAGAUAGACUUUGCCACGAAUGAGUACCUGGUGCACUGCGUAAAGCAUCGUCACUAGGGAGACAAAGGUGGUCGGGUGUGGUGCUGGCCAUCCACCCCCUUGUGUACCGUGCUGGCCUUCAUGGGUGCUCGUUAACAGCACUUUCCCCAACAGUAUGUUGAGGCUAUAGGGGGCCCUUUGUUUUUCGUGCUCUGCUGUUUGAAAUGCACACUGUAGCAGUACUCUGCCGAGUGUUCACCGAGGUGGCGUGUGUUCACUGACAAGUGCUCACCGUUGUAUCAAGAGUUCACUGUGGUUUCAGGUGAAUGGUUAAUCAGCCAGCUAGAAACACUUUGUAUACAGUCAAAGCCAUGGUGCAAGGCCUUCACUGCAUUGUUAGUGGCUCAGGCCUGUGCCGUUGGCUGUCGAUGGCCACGCCCCGUUCCGUACGUACAACCCGACUAUCAGGUGUGUGUGCGAGUUCGUGUAGAUGCUAGGGGUGUGUGUGGAGGUACGGGUUUGUGUAGGGGCUACCCUACCUGGCCAAUAGCCCGAUUAAUGGAGUCCUGUUCUGAGAGUGCAUUCGGAUUUGCGAUGGAACUUUAGGUCCGUGCGGGUUUUGUAUUUUCAAGCAUGGGAUUUGUGUUUCUGGGGACGUGGCAUUGAUUGCCACAACCACACCUCCCAUAACUUGGUGAGAGCCGCAAUAAAUCGCUUUAA